rnacentral:rRNA from 1 species
CAGGUACAGCGGGAAGGCCAGGCGGCGACGCCGAGCGGAACCCGAAAACCUGUCUCAGUUCGGAUCGGAGUCUGCAACCCGACUCCGUGAAGCUGGAUUCGCUAGUAAUCGCGCAUCAGCCAUGGCGCGGUGAAUAUGUUCCCGGGCCUUGUACACACCGCCCGUCAAGCCAUGGAAGCCGGGGGUGCCUGAAGCGUGCAGCCGCAAGGAGCGCCCUAAGGUAAAACCGGUGACUGGGGCUAAGUCGUAACAAGGUAUC